UUCGGAACAAGCUGAAAAUUGAAACGACACACUGUUUCCUUUCUCCGUAAUAAGAAAGGAAAGUAGGUGUGUUCGAGUCUCUCAAAUUUUCACAAUCACGAUUGUGUCUCACGAGACACCUUCGG
rnacentral:sRNA from 1 species